rnacentral:tRNA from 1 species
GGGUCGAUGCCUGAGUGGUUAAAAGGGGUGGAUUGUAAAUUCAUUGUGUUAAACUUCGUUGGUUCGAAUCCAACUCGGCCCA